UUCUUGUAGAUUCGUUCCAUUAAUUGAUUUUCAGUUUUCCGCUGUUAAAUUUGUGCUUAUUGCGCUAAUCGUCGUCGUCAAAUGUUGCAUUAGGGUUUUGUUUGUGAGUGUAGACUUUGAUUGAUUUGGGCGUUUAAAUUUCUUUUUUUUUUGUAUUUUUUUCAUUUAGCUUGUUAAUGUUCCGAUUUUUCAGCUUAGGGUUUCAUGUGAGUUUGAAUAUUGAUUUAUUUGUGCGUUUAAUUUGUUUUUAAUUUCGUUCAAUUAGCUUGUUAUGCCGCGUUUUGCCGUUUCGUCAGCUUAGGGUUUUGUUUGUUGAGUGUGAAUUUAUUGAUUAGUGCAUUUAAUUUCUUAAUGUCUGCUGCAAUUUUAGUUCCUCCACUGCAGAAUUGCUCCAUCGAUGGGGAAAGGCGAGAUGGAGCAGCUGACCUUUGAAUUGAACCAUGAUUCUUCCAGUUUGUUGCUUUACCUACGGCAAGGGCUCUCGGUACGAGGAUGAUGACACUCAUUCAAAGAGAGGUGUUCUCCUGCUGUAUAGAGCAAGGUGGGCAACGGAUAGGAGAAGGGUGAUUAUUUUUUAAUAUUUGUAUGAACUUAAUUACAAUUGAGGUGGGUUACUGUUAGUUUGGCUUGUCAGCUCAAAGUUUUGGUUGACAUUUUUUGUUUAUUGAUUUAGUCAGGUACUGAGUAUUGUUCAUCGUUCAUCUGAUUGUUUUAAUUAGGAUAGAAAUGUUGAUGUAAUAUGUAGAUUGAUUGAAUAUCAAUUGUUGGUUUGGCUUAGAA